ACACUUUCCUAUCGUCGUCAGCAUGCCUAUAUUCCCCUCGUCCGGCUUCGGCCGGACUAUGGCGAUAAAGGCGCCUGUAAUAAGCGGACCGGACCCGGGUGCGAUUCCCGGCGGCUCCACCAUCUUCUCCCCGCGUUAUCGGCGGAGGCAGCCAUGGGGCCGACUAGCAUCGACGGACGUGUAAAGAGGAUUGCUUUCGCUCGUCCUGGCCCACCGUAUCGGGCCAUUUUCUAACUGCGAACGAUAACUUCGCUGGAGAAGUCGCUCUCGCCGCGUAAUGCGGUUCGGGUGAUUUCGAACCUUAAGUCCUAGGGGUUCAGAUCCUUGGGCGGGGCCCGUCGGGGGGCCUGGCAACAGAACCCCCGGCACU
rnacentral:tmRNA from 1 species